GCGAGAUGGAUGCCGAAAAAGCUGAUGAAAAGGUGAAGACGACGAUGCAUUCGUGGUUCGCAGCUCAGCCCAAAACAUUUUUUAAUGAGAAAAUACAAAGGUCCUUCGGCAAAUGGACAAAGUGUAUACAGAAAUCGAGUGAUUAUGUCAAAAAAUGAUGUAUGUCUUUUUUGACAAUUGCUUAAAAUAAAUUCUACACCGACAGAGCGGGCUGUUAAUCUAGAGGCUGGAGUACAAAGAAGUGGCACAAUGAUGUGGGCUGAUGACAUUUAUAAUUAUCAAGGAAUCACCCCUACAUUCGCUCAGAAUUUUAAUGAAACUGUCCCUUGGGAAGGAAGAACUGAUACCUUGAUAUCACGGUUUGUACAUCCUAUAUAUACGACAAAUUUUAGAACAUUAUAUAACGAAGAACCAGAUCGUCGUGGCCAUGUGAUGUGAAUAAAAGGACUUGAAUUUGAUGAUAUUUUUAUAAUGUUAGAUAACAUAACUAAGUAUCUUCACAGUAAGAUAGGAUGACAUGGUUUACAUGAUCUUAAUGUUGUUCACUCGAGUGAUGAUAUUAUAAGGAAAAGCGUAAUAUCACAGGAUAUUUAUGUUUAGUAACCAGUAAUUCAGAGAUUGGUAUUCAUGGUUACUAUAACGAGGCUGUAGAAACGCACCCUUUCUUCUUUGCAAAUGGCCCUGUAUUUAUGUCUAAGCCGAAACUGGAACCUCUGAAUAAUUUAGAUUUAUUCUUGUUAUUUUCUAAAAUACUUAUCUACAGUAUACCAUAAGGAAUGAUACCGUAUCGCACCUAAUCAAGUGCCUUAAGAAACAUCAACAGGAUAUCACAGUAAUCCCUUAUCGACUGAUAUUUGUAGCCACUACAAUAUCUAUGACACUGGUAGUAAUUAUAAGAACAAUAAUGAUGUUCUAUAAGAGGAAAUGAUGAUUAGGAACAAAAACUUACAGGAGAUAUCAUGCGGUGGAUGGAUAAUAUGUAAAAAAUAUUAAGCAGUAUAUGAAUUUUCAUAUUGCGUAGAGAUAACAAAAUGAAUUUUAAAAAAUGUCGACACGGUAAUAAGAAAUAGCAUCGUGACAAAGAAUAUAUAAAGACAGUUUCAUUUUUUAUAAAUAAAAAUUUGUUGUUCCAAAUUUUGAAAUACAGUGAAACGUUUAAUUAGUAUCUUAAUAUCUUUAAAUAAUUAUUAUUUUAGAAUCAAUUGUAAUUGUAUCAUACGUACUUUUGAAUUCGUGCAAGAACAUAUGUAAUUUUGAAGUAGUUAUUAUUAGGAAACUGUUAGACGCGAACAGUAUGCGAAAAGUUAGUAUGCAGUGUAAUAAUUAUCAAUCAAAACACAAGAAUUAAAUUCUUGAGGAAAAAAUUUCCG